CUGGCGGCAGGCCUAACACAUGCAAGUCGAGCGCGCCCUUCGGGGUGAGCGGCGGACGGGUUAGUAACGCGUGGGAACGUGCCCUUCUCUAAGGAAUAGCCACUGGAAACGGUGAGUAAUACCUUAUACGCCCUUCGGGGGAAAGAUUUAUCGGAGAAGGAUCGGCCCGCGUUAGAUUAGAUAGUUGGUGGGGUAACGGCCUACCAAGUCUACGAUCUAUAGCUGGUUUUAGAGGAUGAUCAGCAACACUGGGACUGAGACACGGCCCAGACUCCUACGGGAGGCAGCAGUGGGGAAUCUUGGACAAUGGGGGCAACCCUGAUCCAGCCAUGCCGCGUGAGUGAUGAAGGCCUUAGGGUCUAA
rnacentral:rRNA from 2 species